UGCCAGCCGCCGCGGUAAUACGGAGGGUGCAAGCGUUAAUCGGAAUUACUGGGCGUAGAGCGCGCGUAGGCGGUUGUUUAAGUCGGAUGUGAAAGCCCUGGGCUCAACCUGGGAACUGCAUUCGAUACUGGGCAACUAGAGUAUGAAAGAGGGAGGUAGAAUUCCAUGUGUAGCGGUGAAAUGCGUAGAUAUCGGAAGGAACACCAGUGGCGAAGGCGACUUCCUGGGCCAAUACUGACGCUGAGGUGCGAAAGCGUGGGGAGCAAACAGGAUUAGAUA
rnacentral:rRNA from 1 species